AAAAAAGAAUUUAUAUAUUAGAUAUUAGUUUUUUUCAAUUAAAUAAAUAAGAAAAUUUUAAAAUAAAAAAAAUAUAUGAAACAUCAUUUCUCUCUCCCUCUUUUCCUCUAUCUUCCCCGAAGCCUCAUUCUCUCUCUCACUGUGUUGCCUCUACCAGGCCCGAACGGCCAUCGUCCCAUCGCCGGAGCCGUACACGCGCCAGCCCAAUCAAACCGUCGGCCCUCAAAACGUCGACCCCCGCGAGCUCACCACCAUAUGCGCUGCCCAGGGCUGUCAACCAACGGUCCGAAGCCAACCGCCUCUUGCAUUUUCCGGCGAGAUUCCAACUACCCCGAGCCUCUUGUUUGACGAUCUGUGAUUAGUUAGGCUACGACGGUGACGGGGAAGAGGUGUGGGUCUGGGCUCGUGGUCUUCCUCGUCUCAGAUGCGGGCUCAAUGGUGGGGAUGGGGAUCGACGUGAUGAGAAGAAUCAUCUUCCUCAGACGAAAAAUGACAUGAAAAAUACUACAAGUCUUCUGAUUCCAUCAAAUGUAAAGACGGAUCCAAGAAAUUCACCAAAACCCAGCUCAACGACAACUUCUGCGACUGCCCCGAUGGCACCGACGAGCCUGGAACAUCUGCUUGUCCAAAUGGAAGAUUCUAUUGUCAAAAUGCAGGGCAUGCUCCUAAAGUGUUAUUCUACUAGAGUGAAUGAUGGUAUAUGUGGUAAGUAGCUUUAAAUUUAC